rnacentral:lncRNA from 1 species
AACCUUGCUUCAUAGUUUCAACGUUGCAAUAUGGUGCACUUCGUAUGCUUCCUCUAAUUAAUCCCCGAAGCAAAUUUGCAACGUAGGAAGGCUUAAUGGUUGAACGAAAAAGGGCAGAAAUGGAAAAUGAAAAGUUGAGUCCAUCCAUCUGCUCUUUCUUUCCAAGCCAACAAAUAAAUGAAAAAGUACCUUGAUCUAGGAUGAGUUUGCGUUUCCUCCAUUUGUUAUCCCUCAAUUUAUUCUCAAUUUGAAAAGAGAUAGAUACAAGUGAAGAUUAGUGGGGUNNNNNNNNNNNNNNNNNAGUGGAAUUCACAAUUUUUUAAUGUGUCUAUCUCUCUCCAAAUAGAGAAUAAAUGGAGGGAUAACAAAUGGAGGAAACCCAAACCCAUGAAAAUUAGUGGGCUCACAAAUUAGUGAGACCCACUUUUAAUGGGUCCCACCAAUCUUUAAUGUGUCUAACUAAUCUAUCUCCAAAUAAAAAAUAAAUGGAGAGAAAACUCAAACUUCAAUUUAACCAACUUAUUCUCAUUACUUAUAUUUCUACAGAAGAAAACGAAAACAUUAACGACUUUAUCCUUAUGAUAAUGACAAUAAUGAGACACUCCUCUGAUGAUUUUAAUCAGAAAAGGGAAUUGAAACUCAAUUUCAAUGACUUUGCAGUUAUGUGUCUCAAACAACAUUUAGCCUAAAAAAAAAUAACACUUUUUAACAAUACAACUAACAUCGCAUAUGAUUUUCUUUUUUGGUAUUAACCCUCCGGUUCCUAGGGGAAAUGGGCCCCAGUAAUCCAGAGUUAGACCGCAAGGUAAGUAAAGUCUAGCCAAAAAUUGUUCCUAUCAAGAAUC